rnacentral:rRNA from 1 species
UACAGAGGGUGCUAGCGUUGUCCGGAAUCACUGGGCGUAAAGGGCGCGUAGGCGGCCCGAUAAGUAGGGGGUGAAAUCUUGCGGCUCAACCGCAAGGCUGCCUUCUAAACUGUCGGGCUGGAGCACGGUAGAGGCAGAUGGAAUUCCCGGUGUAGCGGUGGAAUGCGUAGAGAUCCGGAAGAACACCGGUGGCGAAGGCGGCCUGCUGGGCAGUAGCUGACACUGAGGCGCGACAGCGUGGGGAGCAAACAGG